GGGAAAUAGCUCAAUGGUAAAGCCUCUGCUUAGCACGCACAAGGUCCUGGGUUCAAUUCCCAGUACCCA
rnacentral:tRNA from 1 species